UACGGGGGGGGCAAGCGUUGUUCGGAAUUACUGGGCGUAAAGGGUUUGUAGGUGGCCCGCUAAGUCACACGUGAAAUCCCUCAGCUUAACUGGGGAACUGCGUGUGAGACUGGCAGGCUCGAGGGCAGGAGAGGAACGCGGAAUUCCAGGUGUAGCGGUGAAAUGCGUAGAUAUCUGGAGGAACACCGGUGGCGAAGGCAGGUCUCUGGGCCACUACUGACGCUGAGAAGCGAAAGCAUGGGGAGCGAACAGG
rnacentral:rRNA from 1 species